CAUGCAAGUCGAACGCAAUCUUUUAACAAUGAGUGCUUGCACUCAGCGUUUUAAGUGCGAGUGGCGAACGGGUGAGUAACACGUGGGCAAUCUGCCCAAAAGUGGGGGAUAACACUUGGAAACAGGUGCUAAUACCGCAUCAACCGGCUGACCGCAUGGUCGGCCGGGCAAAGACGGCGUCAGCUGUCGCUUUUGGAUGAGCCCGCGGCGUAUUAACUAGUUGGUAAGGUAACGGCUUACCAAGGUGAUGAUACGUAGCCGAACUGAGAGGUUGAUCGGCCACAUUGGGACUGAGACACGGCCCAAACUCCUACGGGAGGCAGCAGUAGGGAAUCUUCCACAAUGGACGCAAGUCUGAUGGAGCAACGCCGCGUGUAUGAAGAAGGUCUUCGGAUCGUAAAAUACUGUUGUCAGAGAAGAACACGUGAUAGAGUAACUGCUAUGGCGCUGACGGUAUCUGACCAGCAAGUCACGGCUAACUACGUGCCAGCAGCCGCGGUAAUACGUAGGUGGCAAGCGUUGUCCGGAUUUAUUGGGCGUAAAGGGAACGCAGGCGGUCUUUUAAGUCUGAUGUGAAAGCCUUCGGCUUAACCGGAGAAGUGCAUUGGAAACUGGAAGACUUGAGUGCAGAAGAGGAGAGUGGAACUCCAUGUGUAGCGGUGAAAUGCGUAGAUAUAUGGAAGAACACCAGUGGCGAAAGCGGCUCUCUGGUCUGUAACUGACGCUGAGGUUCGAAAGCGUGGGGAGCGAACAGGAUUAGAUAC
rnacentral:rRNA from 1 species